UGCGGGGCCUACAAUAGAAUUAUGACUCCAUACUUAAUCAUGUACUUCCACUUAAGAUGUGUUUGAUUCGAAGUCGGAAUCGGUAUCAGACUCGAAAUAAGAAUAAGCUCGAAACGAAAUUGGAAUGAUUCAUUACCUUAUUUUGUUUGGUUUGCCACUUGAAUCAAAAUCGGAAUGACCCAUUUCUAUUGUCGGUGUUUGGUUCAGAUAGAUAUCAGAAAUAUAAUCAAAUUAAUAUGCUAAUUUUAUCUUUAUAAUAUAUUAGCUUAAAUUCAAACUAAAAAUUAAAUAUUAAAAAUUUAGGUCAAAAUUUUAAAAUAAUAUCAAAUUUUAAAUAUAUUUUUUUUAAAAAAUAAACUUUGAAAUUGAAUUGAUAAUUCAAAAUAUAAAAGUAAAUAUCAAUUUAUUCAAAUUCAAAAUUAAAAUCAUAAUUUAAAUUUCAAUUGAAUCCGUAAAUAUAAUUUAAAUUUUAAAUAAAAUUUGAAUAAAAUUUUAGAUUUUAAAUUAAACUUAAUUCAAAUUUAUAAAUUAGAUUCGAAAUGCUUGAUUGAGUCUUAAUUUUUAAUUUAAGUUCAAAUUAAAAUUUAAAUUUAUAAAUGUAAUGUUUACUCUUAAACUUAUAUUUUAAUUAACAAAUAAGCUUAAAAAAGUGAAAUUUAAUCCCGCAUACCAAAUACGGACAAACAUAUUCGUCUAUUCCGAUUCCGAUUCCAGGGUGAAAAAGGGGGCGAACCAAUCACACCCAUAAAGCAAACUUUCAAGGGAUUGGACCAAAUUAAUUACAUUCUAAGUAAGCCUCAAAUGGGGUUCAAGGAUAUCCAAAUUCCAAAGUUUGUGCCCCACCCUUCUCUAUAAAUACUCUAAAUAUU
rnacentral:lncRNA from 1 species